rnacentral:rRNA from 1 species
CAAGUCGAACGCGAAAGUCCCCUUCGGGGGGCAAGUAGAGUGGCGCACGGGUGAGUAACACGUAGGUAAUCUACCUUUGGAUGGGGAAUAACAACCGGAAACGGUUGCUAAUACCGCAUAAUGCAGCGGCACCUAAUGGUGACAGUUGUUAAAGCGGGGGAUCGCAAGACCUCGCGUCUGAAGAGGAGCCUGCGGCGGAUUAGCUAGUUGGUAAGGUAACGGCUUACCAAGGCUGUGAUCCGUAGCCGGCCUGAGAGGGCGGUCGGCCACACUGACACUGACAUACGGGUCAGACUCCUACGGGAGGCAGCAGUCGGGAAUUUUGGGCAAUGGGCGAAAGUCUGACCCAGCAACGCCGCGUGAAGGAUGAAAUCCUUCGGGAUGUAAACUUCGCAAGAACAGGAAGAAUAAGUAAGAGUUAAUAUCUCUUACGAUGACGGUACUGUUUGUAAGCUCCGGCUAACUCCGUGCCAGCAGCCGCGGUAAUACGGGGGGAGCAAGCGUUGUUCGGAUUUACUGGGCGUAAAGGGCGCGUAGGCGGCCACCGCAAGUCGACUGUGAAAUCUCCGGGCUUAACCCGGAAAGGUCAGCCGAUACUGCGGGGCUAGAGUGCAGAAGGGGCAACUGGAAUUCUCGGUGUAGCGGUGAAAUGCGUAGAUAUCGAGAGGAACACCUGCGGCGAAGGCGGGUUGCUGGGCUGACACAGACGCUGAUGCGCGAAAGCUAGGGGAGCGAACGGGAUUAGAUACCCCGGUAGUCCUAGCCUUAAACGAUGAAUGCUUGGUGUCUGGGGUUUUAUAGUCCCCGGGUGCC